rnacentral:lncRNA from 1 species
GUAAAGUGGACUUGUGAAGGCCGUGAGCGAGUUUACGACAUGGCAGGAGUUGUCGUGGGCGGUGGUGGUUGAACAAUUAUGUUGCAAAUUGUUGGUGGAGCUGCAAAAUUGAAGGAGGUCUUGUGGAGGUGGAGACGGAGCGGAAAGAUUUUGAGGUUUAUGAGGUGUAGGAAGGCGGGUUUCCGGCGGAGAGAGAUGAAAGGUUUUGACGACACAAUUUGUGUGGUGGUUCGGCGGUGACGGGAUGUCGUGGAGAAGACGAUGGGGGAUGGUGGUAGGUUGGGUUUGCCGGCGGCGAAGGUGAAAGGUUGUUGAUGACGGUGUGUGAGGGAGCUUUUCGCUGGAAUUGGUGGCGGAUGGAGAGAGGAUGGUGUUUGGUUUUUUAAGGUCAAUGAGAGAGAAGAGUAUCCUUUUCUUUUCUUUUCGUUGAGAGUCUAUGAGUGAGGUACUGAAUAGUGAAUGGGUUAUAUGAAUGAGGUGAGACUGAGAAAGAGUUAAAGUGAGUGAGGUGAUAGCUGGCGUGUGGGAAGCGGAAACGUGCAGUGUGAGGAGAGUGGCAUAGGUGAUAGCUGUCAACUUAAUAAAAGAAUCCAAUGCCACCUUAUUUUAUUAUUUUGAAAAUCAUUUAUUCGUUUUUAACUAAAAUAUGAUUAUCACAAAUAAAAAAUCUUAAUUAUUUAAUUUGAUAUUUUGAAUAAAGAAAUAAAAUGACCGGACUAAAAAUAGAAAUUGGAUAUAAAUUUACUCGAAAAAUUAAAUCGGAUGUACUAAAAUGAUCAGCACAAAAUAUACUUAUUGAAAAAAAUACAGCGUUUCUUUAAAUUUUGAGAUAAAUUUUCACCGGUUAAAAGAGCUCAAGCGGGUCAAAACGCAAUUGAAAUAGCCGCUGAAAAAUAUAACGGGCACACCAGGUUAAACUACGUGAAUCGUAGGUUAAUAAUACUGGCGUCUGCAAUUUUAAUUUUGAAACUUUUUACCCGCUGAUUUUGCAUGUUCUUGAGAAAUGAUUUAACCAAUUUGUCUGUAUUUUCAAUAAAUUUAUUUUGAAUGAUAUUUUAGGUUUUAUUCAUGAUGAAAUGCAUGUCAUGCUGUGCAUAUGAUGCAAAUUAAAAAUGAAAUCGAGUUUACAAAAAUUUAAAUAUGCCCAGACAAAAUUGGGGUAUGACAGUAGGUCAUAAGCAUUGCAUAUCAUGUUGCAUCUCAUCAGUCAAGACUGGUCAGGAGAUUCAACUGUGCAAGGCAACAAGAUCAUUUUCCAUGAGAUGAAAGCCCUAUGGUUGUUAUAAUGAGCUUACAUGACCCAAGGAUCACUUUGAAGCAAUUUGGCCAAGUGUUGAAGGCUCAGAACUCAUCAGUGCAUGUGCAAGUCAUCUGAAGCCCAUAAAAGUCAACUGCAAAGUCAACUGUGGAUUUGGAGGUGGGAAGUGGUUAGAGAUGCUUCAUUCAUGUUCAAACAAGUCUCAUUUGACAUUUGAAACACUUACAUUGAAGAAUUUGAAGUCAAGUCAAGAAUUUCCCAAAAUAGAAAGUGACCCAUAAUUUGGAAUUUCCAAAAAUGGCAAGGUUUUGGACCAACUUCAACUCAAUUUUAAAUCAUCAAUAAAGCUUCAAAUGAAAUUUUGUCCAACAUGCAAGUUGAAGAUCUUUCUCUCCCAUUUCUAAAAAGUCCAAGAUCAUGGAUUUAUGAUGUGUGGUUGAGGAGAUAUGAUCCAAUCAUGGCAAAGUGUGCUUAAAAUUUCAAAUGGGCAUAACUUUUGAACCAAGGCUCCAAUUUGGGUGGUUCUUUUUGCAUUUUGUUCAUCAUGACAUGCACUUUCCAAACAUAUCAUUACAUAGCAUGAAUUUCACUUGCAUGAUCAUGUGCUCACUUAUGAAGUUUUUGGAAGAAAAAUUUCUAAAAUCAAUUUGGUUGAUCAUAUGCUUAAAAAACCAUUUCCAAAGUGUGCAUGGGUUAUUUUUAAGUGGUUUUGGGCCUUAUGUUGGUACUGUUCACGCAUGCAUGAAGGGCAUAAGGUGAAAAUCCAAUUUUGUGCACACGCCUCAUAACUUGCUAAUCUCAAUUGGUUUUGGCUUAAACAUGUUUUCAGUAUCAUUAGCAAGACAUAUAUAUUGUUAAUCACAAUUGCAUUUGGCAUUAACCACAGUUUUCAGAUCUAGAUCUCAAAAUCAACAAAAAAUUUCUCUCAAAAAUAUUUCCAAAUUCUUCACACAAAAGCCAUUUCUAUUGAUGGAUUCAUGAUCAGGAAGUAUUUUUGAGGCAAAUUGAACGUGGACUUGGAUCAAAUCGUGCUAGUUUGGACCAUACUCGAAGCUUGAAGGUUCAAUGGAGUUUGCAAAAUCUACUGGAUUCACGUGCGUUUGAGCUUCAUUUUUUCCAUCAAUCAUCUCCACAAGCAUCAUAGAGGAGCUUUGGACCAUUACAAGCCUUGGAUAACGCGAUUCAAAGGUGCUGCUCUUCAAGAGGUUGAUUUUCGAUCUCAUCUAUUCUCCAAUUCAUUAUGAUAUUUGUAUAGAUCUUUGAUUGGUGAUCAUUCUGGUAUAAAAUUUGAGUGAAAUGACGUAUUAUUCAUGAAGAUACAUGCAUUUGAAGUUUUGAUGUCAAUUUUUCUUUUCUUCGAUUUGAGCGAUGCUUGAUGUUUUAGUGUGAAUUGUGGUUUGAUCUUGCAUGUACAUGAGCCAAGGAUUCGAUUGAUGUAAUUAUUUUUGAUUUCUGGAAUGGUUUUGAAAAAUCUGGAAAUUUGCAUUUGAAGUUCAUCUUCAUCUUCAUGAGGAAGAUGAAGAUCAUCACGUUUUCCAGAACUUGCUAUGAGUCUGCUAGGAUUUAGCUACGAAAUGUUCAUGAGUUAGCUACGAUUUCUGGAGAUUUUCCAGGCUUAGGGUUUUGCACCAAAACGCUGUCGUUUUGGUGGAGCGCCAAAUUCAAAUCUGGACCAGGUUCGAUCCUGGCCGAGCGCGUUUUUUCAAAUGCUUCAUGAUUUUCACCUUUUCCCUCCCUUUGACCAUGCUUGUUCAUGUUUUGAUUUCAAGUUUUUCCCAAACUUCAUAAAAUCAUAACAAAUUGAAAACUCAUCCAAUUUAAUCCCAAUUUUUUGCAAAAUGCUCUUUAUUCUGUCUAGUUUUUUAUGAUCAUAAAUUGGAAAAUUGUGCAUGGCUGGAUUUUAUUUGGUUCUAGGUUAUGUGAGCAUGUAUCCAUUUUUGACCUUGCCUUGUUUAUCUUGUUGUGAAAUGCUUGUUUCUUAUCCAAUGAACCUGAAAUUUUGCAUGCUAAUUCUAGACACAUUAAUGGACAUUUUGGCUUUGGUUUGACAUUUUUCCCAUGCUCCAUUUCUGUUUUAUGCUUGUGUUAACUUGGUGUGACAAUUUGUGUCACACAUUUGAUUGUUUGACUUGUACAAUGUGAUUUCCAUGCCAAAUGAUCUCCAAUGGUUAUGAUUUUUUGUGUGAUGGAUGUUGUGGAUGUCUUGAUUGCUCAUGAAUUUUUCCAGAAUUAUUUGAAUCAUUUCUGUUUUGAUUGAGAAUUUUCAUUCAUGUUGAUCAUUUGGAUGCCUUGAAUUGGUCUUUGAUUUAUCUUGCACAUAAAAUGAACUUGCCUAGUGAUUUUACUUUGGUUCUUUUUAGGAUUUACUCUUGAUUGAUUAAAUAUGAUCCAUGUUGAGUUUGAGGUUCUGUUUUGGAUUUUUGAUCCUCUUUUGACCCUAGGCUUUGACCUAGUGGUUUGGACUUACCAUUUGGGUUAUGAAUUUCAGGUUCAAGUGUACAUUUCCAUGAUUGGAGUGGCUCCUUCAUUUAAGCUUAGUCAAUUGUUGUCAUGUGCUAACCUUUGUGUGUUUUGUAGGCUUUGAGAACAAUUCACUUGUGCUUGUGGCUUGCUCAUUGUUGUCUAAUGAUGCUUUGUCUGUCUGUUUGUUAUUAACUGUUGAUUGUUUGUCUGUACAGUUAAACUGAUUGGUUUAGCUAUUUCCACAGGUACCUAAGUUGCUUUGAGUUCAUUUGAACUUGCUUGGCAUUGCUUGUGGUUUGCAUACCACUAAGGUAUAAUUCCUUGACUUCAUGUAGUCUGGAAGACCUAUUGUUAUUGGUAGGCACCUGUCUGAAGCCCUCCUUAAGAGGCAAUGUUUGUGAAUGUUUAAUUUUGUGCCAAGCAGGUAAAGACCUCUUAAGAGGCAAUUGACAGAUGGAAGGGAUAUGCAAUCCAUCCCCUGCUAUUCAGUUGUGUCACUCACUUUGCUCACACACCAUGUGUUGACGCAUUGUGAGUAAGAGCCCAAAAUCUAGUCCAUAGAGUCAGUCAUCUGUGGAGAAGAGUUCCUACAUUCUGAACUCCCACACUUUCUAUUUUGAGUCAAGCUCUCCCAGGCCAGGGAUAAGAGCUGUGAGGUCUUAUCCUCACUUCCCAUUUCAUCUGCUUAUCAUCUGCUUCACCCUAACUCUCAAUGUUAGGGUUAAGAGCUAAAAACACCCCAUUCCAGUUGGCUUGUUUCUGCAGCCUAACCUUGUAUGAGCCCAAUUGUUUGCAUAUAGUGUGUGUGCUUGCUUUAUUGUACUUGUGUUUGCUCAAUUGUGCUGUUUAGGAUAGCUUGCUUCCUGUGCAAGUUAGGAUAGAAACCUCAACCUAGGACCAUUGUGGAUUACAUGAUAACUAUUAGGCUCGAGUCAGGCUCCCUUCUAGUUUGUAAUUUCCCAGUCUCUAGUUAGGUUAGAAGUUCUUUCCCUGUUUAGGGGAACUACGUCGCCCUGAUCCUCAUACCAGAUGAGGUACGUAGGCAGGAGAUGAGCUGAUCUCUCCGGGCGCCCUUUUUCUUUUGCAACCCUUUGCGUGUGUUGGAGUCUGACAUAAGUCCAGCGAUUGGCAGUUGGUUUCCUGUGUCUUGUUUGCUUGUUGGAGUCUGACAUAAGUCCAGCGAUUGACAGUUGGUUUCCUGUGUGUGUGUUUGUUGGUUCGGAGUCUGAUAUAAGUCCAGCGAUUGGCAUUCGAUUUCCAUGUUCGCCUGUUUGUGUGGCGUCUGACGUAAGUCCAGCGAUUGGCAGUCGGUUUCCUGUGUGGUCUUGUUUGGCGUGCGUUAGCCGAGCUACGAGUGCUCUGAUUCUUCUCUGAUUAGAGAAGAUACGUAUGCAUAGGAUGCGACAUCCUAGCGAGCACGUUUCCCCUGUCCCGGAACUACGUCGCCUCUGAUGUCUGUGUCUGAUAGACUACGUAGGCCCAGGAUGCGAUAUCCUGCCGAGUNCAAUAUCCUGCCGAGUCCUGUUUCUUUUGUCUUUCUGUGUUUCCUUCCAGCCUUGUGCAGUUUGUGAGCAGUUUUAGCAACCUUUCUUCUUCCUUUCGAGCGUGGAUCCCAUCGAGUACGACGGAUGCGUAGGGCUGCUAAUACCUUCCCUUCGCAUAACCGACUCCCGUACCCAUCCAUCUCUGGUCGCGAGACCAUGUCUUUUCCAGGUUUACUUCGAGCGUUUCCUUUCCCUCUUUUGGGAUAAAUAACGCACGGUGGCGACUCUGUUAUUUUGUUUUCCCGCCGGUUUUUCGCGUAAUGCGACAGCUGGCGACUCUGCUGGGGACUAAAGAGAAGUUGACCUCUUGCUGGUCCAUCUUCCCUAAGCGAGUCACUCCUAGCGCUCUCUAGGAUAAGGUUUGGUUGCUUUUACUGUUUCAUUUAUUGCAUUUAUGAUUAUGAUGUGAUUGUUUAUGUUUGCAUUCAUCAUAUUUUCAUCAGUGCUGGCUGUGUGUUUGUCUCUCUGUGGGGUGGGAGUUCCAAGAGGUAAAAGGCCCAAUACCCAGGCUAUGAGUGAACUUUAGGACACCUAGGAAUAGAGUGAUUCAUGGGAAGCGGGUGGUAUUGCGCCACUUAGCGGAACUUGAUAUCACGAGCAGUUCAGAUCCUUAUGGGGUAUUAUCGGUGCAUACAUCGGGUGUGUACAUGAUGAUAUUCUAUGAAAGGGUUGUUUAUCCUGCGUUUCUCUUGACCUUACCCUGGCCUAGAUGACACCCGUGAGUGGGGAGGGAAUGAAUCAUUUUACAGGUACCGUUGGUGACUUGUUGGUGACUCUUGGUUCCUGUUGGUGACUUGGUUCUGAGAUAUAUGGGUUCCAGAUGACUUUGGGUCUCAGAUGACUUUGUGGUUCCGAAUUCAGGCCGAAGCUUUGAACCUGUGCUCCGUAACACACAGCCAACCAGUCGCGUUUGCAUCAUUUGCAUCAUAGCAUAUUUAUUUUCAAAAAAAAAAAGUAAUGCAAAAAAAAAGAAAGAAAGAAAAGAAAAGAAAAAAAGCUAAUCUCCUCAUGCAUAUCAUUUCUCAGGUUUAUUUGGGAGUCUGUUCACUGUGAGAGAUGGCAUCCGUUCCAGAGUUGAAGAGGAAGACGUGCACCUACAGUUUUCACCGUGAGCCAUUGACGUCUUUGAUAGAGUUGAGCAACUUUGUGACCGGCGGUAAUCAGAAGGUGUUUGUUGAUCAGUAUGGGGAUUUGUUGACACUGUUGAAGAUGGUGGUAGAUCCAGUACCGUUGCAGACUCUUCUACAGUUCUAUGACCCAGAGCUCCGUUGUUUCACUUUCUAGGAUUAUCAGUUAGCGACCACUCUUGAGGAGUACUCCAUUCUGAUGAAUGUCCCGAUCAGAUAUCAGGUGCCUUUCUUCGAUGUUCCAAAGGAGGUUGAUUUCAGAGUCAUUGCCAGAGCUCUUCAUUUGAGUAUCAAAGAAGUGAGUGAAAAUUGGAAGUCAAGUGGUGAUGUUGUGGGGUUUCCUUUGAAGUACCUGAUGAGGAUGGCUAAAGAAGAAACAAAGAAGGGAAAUUGGGAAGCUUUUCAUGCUCAGUUGGCUACUAUGAUUUAUGGGGUGGUGUUGUUUCCGAGUAUGCCUAAUUUUGUGGACUUUGCUGCUAUCACUAUCUUCAUCAGAGGAAAUCCAGUUCCUACUUUGUUAGCUGACACUUACUAUGCUAUUCACAGCAGGCAUGGUAAGGGUGGAGCUAUCAGAUGCUGUCUCCCUUUAUUGCUCAGAUGGUUCUUGUCUCUUCUGCCAGCCAGUGGACCUUUUGUAGAUGCUCAGAGCACUCAUAAGUGGACUCAGAGGAUUAUGUCUCUUACCUCCUAUGACAUCAGGUGGCAAUCUUACCGGAUGGAUGUGCGUAAUGUCAUCUUGAGUUGUGGAGAGUUUCGUAAUGUGCCACUCAUAGGGACUAAAGGUUGCAUCAAUUACAACUCGGUUCUUUCUCUUCGCCAGUUGGGGUUUGUGAUGAAUGGAAGACCACUAGAUGCUGAGAUAGCAGAAAGUGUGUAUUUUGAGUAGCGGAGUGACCCGGCUAGAUUGGAGCAAGUGGGAAGAGCUUGGAAGACUAUUGGUGUCAAGGAUGGAGCUGUGUUAGGGAAGAAGUUUGCCAUUGCUAUGCCUGAUUACAUUGAUUGGGUCAAGAGAGUUGAGACUUUGUUAUUGCCCUAUGAUAGGAUGGAGUCUUUGCAAGAGCAACCACCUUUGAUCCUUGCGGAGAGUGUGCCUGCUGAGCACUACAAGCAAGCCUUGAUGGAGAAUCGUCGGUUGAAGGAGAAGGAACAAGAUACCCAGAUGGAGCUCUACAAAGCCAAAGCUGACAAGUUGAACUUGGCUCAUCAACUCAAAGGCAUGCAGGGUGAAGAUGCUAGCAGAUUGAAGAGCAAGAAGAGGUCUUAUGAGGAGUUAGAGACAUUGCUGAAUGAAGAACACCGUGAGUGUUUGAGGUUGCAGAAAGCUGAAGCUAAUUAUCAGAAGAAGAUAAGGGAUUUGGAAAAGCAGCUCAGAGACAAAGAUGUCCAGUUGAAGAAGGAGGUAGACUUGAGACGUGCAUCAGAGAGCCAGCUUGGAGGAGAAGUUGUGGAGCUCAGAAGGCAACUGAAGGAGAAGCUCACGCCUUUACCAGAGUGUUCAGAAUGUGACUUGUUGAUAGACCAGUGCCAGUAUCUGAAGACGCUCAUUCCUGGAGGACAUCUUUCCUAGCUUGUAUUCGUUGUUUAUGUUGAGAAUCACCUCCAGGAUUGUUGGAUGGGAUUCAUUGUUGUACCCUGAUCAUUUGGAUCUUUGCUUGAAUAUUGUUGUAUGAUCCUAGUUGCUCAUGUAUAUAGAUGAGAUUGUUGAUGUUUUACCUCGUGCUCAUUAUCCCGUGUAGUCUGCUUCUGUGUUGUUCAUUGUUGCAGGUUGCCAUCUUUUUAAAGAUGAAUUAGGCUUUUGAAUGCCUGAGAAAUGAACAUAUCAUGUGCAUCAUACGCAUCAUUAGCAUCAUACACAUAUCAUUCUUGCAUUACAGGUGUUCUUGAGCAAGACUUCUCAUUCUGGUUCCUAUUUCAGGCAGGAUUGCUGAUCAACGUCCGCACCCUACUCUACGAGGUUGAAUCAACAGAGGAAUAUGGAUCAAGUGCAAACUGAGUUAGCAGAGAUGAGGGCUAACAUGGCCCAGUUCAUGCAUAUGAUGCAAGGGGUUGCGCAAGGUCAAGAAGAACUUCGAGCCCUAGUCCAGAGACAAGAAGCUGCAAUUCCACCGGUCAACCAUGCUUUGCCAGAGGGAGGCCCAGUCAAUGACCCUGCUACUGCUGCUGUUCCCAUCAACAACUAUGCUGUGGGUGAUGAGUUGAGGGGUAUCAGAAUCAACGGUCAACCUAUUGCUCUAGAGACAGUUAAUGCCAGAGUGACUCGUGCUCCAAUCCGUAAUCCUGCUCCAUUGGUUGAUAGGCAGGAGGAUAUGUUUACUCUCCUCAGUGAGGAUGAUGAAGUUGUGGGAAGAACUGACGAAAGGGAUAGGAGGGUUGAUGCCCUAGCUGAGAAGAUCAGAGCCAUGGAGUGUCAGAACUCUUUGGGGUUUGAUGUUACAAAUAUGGGAUUGGUUGAAGGGCUGAGGAUCCCUUAUAAGUUCAAGGCACCUUCUUUUGACAAAUACAAUGACACUUCUUGUCCUCGCACUCAUGUGCAGGCCUACUACAGAAAGAUCUCUGCCUACACAGAUGAUGAGAAGAUGUGGAUGUACUUUUUCCAGGACAGCUUAUCUGGAGCUUCCUUGGAUUGGUACAUGGAGCUGAAGAGGGAGUCCAUCAGAAGUUGGAGAGAUCUGGGGGAAGCCUUUCUGAGGCAAUACAAGCAUAAUAUGGACAUGGCGCCGAGUCGAACUCAGUUACAGAGCUUAUGUCAGAAGUCUGGAGAGAGUUUCAAAGAGUACGCCCAGAGAUGGCGUGAAUUAGCUGCAAGGGUGCAACCUCCGAUGCUGGAGAAGGAGUUGACCGAUAUGUUUAUUGGGACUUUGCAAGGAAUAUUUAUGGACCGGAUGGGAAGUUGCCCGUUUGGUAGCUUUUCUGAUGUGGUGAUUUGUGGAGAAAGGACAGAGAGUCUCAUUAAAGCUGGAAAGAUUCAGGACGCUGGUUCUUCAUCUUCAAAGAAGCCAUUUUCUGGAGCACCCAGAAGAAGAGAGGGAGAGACCAAUGCUGUGCAACACAGAAGAAAUAUGAAUAGCGGACAUUAUCGCCAGGUUGCUGCUGUGACCAUCCCAGCACCUCAACCACGACAACAGCAACAACAAAGAGCACCACAACAACAACAACAGCAACGUCCAUUUCAGCCGAGACAGAGAAUGCCGGAUCGUCGUUUCGACCCGUUGCCUACGACAUACGCUGAGUUGCUGCCCGAAUUGCUCAGAUUGGGGUUUGUUGAGUUGCGUACAAUGGCUCCGGUGACGAAGAUACCACUUGGGUAUGAUACCAACAUUCGUUGUGAUUUCCACUCCGGUGCACCGGGGCACCAUAUUGAGAAUUGUCGGGCUUUUCAUCAUAAGGUCCAGGACUUAAUUGACGCCAAAACAAUCAAUUUUGCUCCUGUGCCUAAUGUUGUGAACAAUCCUAUGCCUCAGCAAUUGAGAAUUGUCGGGCUUUUCAUCAUAAGGUCCAGGACUUAAUUGACGCCAAAACAAUCAAUUUUGCUCCUGUGCCUAAUGUUGUGAACAAUCCUAUGCCUCAGCAUGGUGCGCAUAGGGUGAACAGUGUGGAAGAUGGAGAAGUUGUGGACCUGGUAGUUGAUGUUGAAGAUGUCCAGACGUUGCUGUUUGUUGUGAAAAAGCGUCUGUUGGAUGAGGGAGUGUUCCCGGGUUGUGCUGAGGUUUGUUCAGACUGUGAAUACUCCGAGAAUGGGUGUAUAUAGUUGAAGAAUGGUAUCCAGGGACUGAUUGAUGAGGGUUGUUUGCAGUUUGCUAGGGCUGUGAAAGAACGUGGGAUGGUGUCAACUGUUACCAUUUAUUUCAAACCGUCUGAAGGGCGUGGCCAGAGAACUGUCAAUGCACCUGCAACCGUUGGUACUCCUGUUACCAUUUCUGCCCCAGUAACUGUCAGUGCUCCCACUACUAUUGCUGUGUCUGGUAGAAGGGCUGUUGAGAACAGUAGGGCCGUGCCGUGGAAGUAUGACAAUGCUUACCGCAACAACCGAAGGGCAGAAUGUCAGAUCAGGCCGGUGAAUCAGGCUCUAGUGACUAUUGGUUUGCCGAGUAGAGCUCCUGUGACUGUGGGUCCGGUUGUGGACAAUGUAGGGGGACCAGGAGGUUUCACAAGAAGUGGUCGUCUGUUUGCGCCGCAGGUUUUGAGGGACAACAAUGCUGAGGCUCUUGCCAAAGCGAAGGGUAAGCAAGUUGUGGUUGAUGAAGAACCUGUUCAGAAGGACGCGCCUGAGGGGUCGUUUGAGAAGGAUGUGGAGGAGUUUAUGAAGAUAAUUAAGAAGAGUGUCUACAAGAUUGUAGAUCAGAUGAAUCAAACUCCGUCAAAGAUUUCUAUCCUCUCAUUGCUAUUGUGCUCUGAGGCACACCGUAAUGCCUUGUUGAAGAUGUUGAAUUUGGCUUACGUGCCUCAGAAGAUUUCUGUCAACCAGUUGGAGGGUGUCAUUGCUAAUGUGAGCACGAGGCAUGGUUUGGGGUUCACAUACUUGGAUCUGACGCCUGAAGGUCGCAAUCAUAAUAAAGCCCUGCAUAUCACCAUGGAGUGCAAAGGCGCAGUAUUGUCACAUGUGUUGGUGGAUACUGGCUCGUCUUUGAAUGUGCUGCCCAAGAAGAUUCUGAGCAAGAUUGAUGUUAAAGGGGUUGUCCUCACUCCAAGCGAUCUCAUUGUUCGUGCAUUUGAUGGAUCCAAACGGUCUGUUUUUGGUGAAGUCACAUUGCCUGUGAAGAUUGGCCCGGAGGUGUUCAGUAUUGUCUUCUAUGUGAUGGAUAUCCAACCAGCAUAUAGUUGUCUUUUGGGGCGUCCCUGGAUACAUGGGGCUGGGGCAGUUUCGUCAACUCUCCACCAGAAGCUGAAGUACGUAUGGAACUGAUAUGCACUAACCUUUGAGACUUAUGCAUUUCCUUCAAAAUUCCUGAAACAACUUUGUUAACUUUUGGAAUAUUAAUUCUUUUGUGACUUAGAGGAAGUAAUUUGCCUUAUAAUUGAAAGAACGACAUAAUUUGAUACAUGCAUAUAAAAUAAAUGAGACUGAUAUGAAAUAAAGGAGAAAUAAGAAAUGGAAUUAAGUAGAAGGGGCGCCACACUCUUUCUAAUCCAAGAGAGAAUGAUAAGCCUAUGGAUGAGGAUCACCACAAGAAAAGGAUUUCUUGAUAAGAUCAAUUUUG